rnacentral:lncRNA from 1 species
ACCUGAGUCUCCAAAGUCCGUUGUGUCAUUCUUAUGCCUUUAUAUCCUCAUAGCUUAGCUUCCACUUAUAAGUGAGAACAUAUGAUGCUUGAUUUUCCUUUCCUGAAUGACUUAAUUUAGAAUAAUGGCCUCCAAUUCCAUCCAGGUUGCUGUGAAUGCCAUUAUUUCAUUCUUUUUUAUGGCUGAGUAGUAUUCCAUGGUGUGUGUGUGUGUGUGUGUGUGUGUGUGUGUGUGUAUAUAUAUAUAUAUAUAACCACAUUUUCUUUACAGACUCGUUGCUUGACGGACAUUUGAAUUGGUUUCAUAUUUUUGCAGUUGUGAAUUGUGCUGCUAUAAACAUGCGUGUGCAAGUGUCCUUUUUAUAUAGUGACUUCUUUUCCUCUGGGUAGAUACCCAAUAGUGGAAUUGCUGGAACAAAUAAUAGAUCUACUUUUAGUUCUUUAAGGAAUCUCCAUGCUGUUUUCCACAGUGGUUGUAGCAGUUUCCAUUCUGACCAGCAGUGUGAAAAUGUUCCCUUUUCACCACAUCCAUGACAAUGUCUAUUAAUUUUUUGAUUAUGGUCAUUCUUGCAGGUAUAACAUGGUAUCGCAUUGUGGUUUUGAUCUGCAUUUCCCUGGUAAUUAGUGAUGUUGAGCAUUUCUCCAUAUGCUUGUUGGCCAUUUGUAUAUCUUCUUUGGGAAUUGUCUAGAAUCCCGGCACUUUGAGAGGCUGAAGUGGGUGGAUUGCUUGAGCCCAGGAGUUUGAGUCAGCCUGGGCAGCAUACUGAAACCAUGUCUCUACAAUUGAGGCCUUGUUCCCCAUAAUUUGGAACUUUCCUUCAGAUUUGACCAAGUCAGGUAUAGUUAAUCAAACCUAAGGGGAAAAAGAUCAAAACAACAAAAACAACAAAAACAGGAACAAAAAAAAAACCAAAAAAGUUAAGCAAAACAAACAAUUGCACAAUUUAUAAAAUUACUGGGCUUUCUAAUGGUAAGAAGAAAUUAAGACCAGCUGUUUGUUAAUCGUAAAUUUUAGUCAUUAAGGAGAAUUCCCAAGACAAAACUCCAAUUCAGCUACUUACCUAGGAAUGGAGCUCAAGCUGAAGACUACUCUCUACCAUCCUAGAAGCAAGAAAAAACUAAAACUUGUCUUCCCUGUUAGAAGUGAGCUGAAACUCCAAAUAAGAGUUGCCUGCUUUCCCUCUUCAUGGAAGCAAGAAAACUCACCUGCCUUGUUGGAAGUGAGUAAAACUCCAGAAAAGGAAUUGUAUGGCAAAAUGAACUUUAGACUCAAAAUUUUGGGAGAUCAGGGAUUCUCUGGAGGGAGUGCUCCUGGACUUCAGCAAAUUGUCCUAUUGAUUUGAACAAUAAAGAUAGCUCAAUCUGGUACCAAGUACUGAUAUGAGAUUUGUCAAAAGUCAGGGUCACCUCUACUCAUAGUCCCUUUGUGGUCACGAGUUUGUAAACCAAGAAGUAUCUAAGCCAAGUCUCAGUCAAUUUAGAAGUUUAUUUUGCCAAGAUUAAUUAAGAACAACGUUCAGGAAAAAGAACAUGGAAUGACAGGAAUAGUCUGUGUUCCGUGCCUUUCUCCAAAGAUGAUUGUGAAGCCUUCAACAUUUAAAGGGGAAAAGCAGGCUGAUGGGGAUGAUUAAUAUUGUACAGUGAAAAAUGCAUAGUUUUUUUUUUCCAUUAAAAAUGGGAAGAUAGGCAUGGAAAAGGCAAAUAGCUUAUUUAAGUUUAUCUAAGAAAUCUGUGGUGGAGGUGAGUCUUCCCACACCUACAGAAUUGUUUCUCAAAGAACCUACUGGACUCUGCUAUCUUGACAAGACCUCACUGUAGUUUUGUGAAAUUUAUCAUGUGUUUCAUUUAUUUAUUUAGAACUGUGGCCUUAAUAGCUGUACAUUGGUAAAGCUAUGGUAUUCCUAUGCAAAAAACAGAAAACUCCCCAGAGCAGAAUACCUUCUAUACCUGUAAGAAGAUUUUCCUUUGAAAGUUGAUCCUAAUGCUUCUGAUACCUUAGACAAGAUUUUCUGAGAGUAUGACAGAAUUCUUCAAGUUAGACAGUGGUAAACAGCUGAACAUGGACAUCCCCCCAACCCUCAUGAAAACAGCCUGACUUUGAACAAGAGAAGGAAAUCACCAAUGAUGAGGCAUUGGCAUGACCAAGGCUGAUCUCACAAAUAAUUUGGGAACUAUUAACAAGUUCUGUCAUAAAGCAUUUAUGGAGGCUCUUCAGGCUGGUGCAGACAUCUUCAUGAUUAGGCAAAUAGUUUGGUGUUUACUUUUAUUCUGCCUAUCUGGUGACUGAUAGAGUGGUUGUGAUCAUAAAGCACAAUGAUGAUGAACAGUAAGCCUGGGAAUCUUCUGCCAGGUAUUCCUUUACUGUAUAUGCUGACCAUGUUGAGCUCAUUGGUAGUGGUACCAAAGUGAUCCUCUGCCUUAAAGAAGACCAGACAGAGUACUUAUAAGAGAGUUGCGUCAAAGAAAUAGUAAAGAAGGACUUGAAGUUCAUAGGCUAUUCUAUUACCUUUUAUUUGGAAAAGGAAUAAGAGAAAUAAAUCACUAAUGAUGAGGUUGAGGAAGAGAAAGGUGAGAAAGAAAAAGAAAAAGAUGAUGAAGAAAAGCCCAAGAUUGAAGAUAUGGCUUCAGAUGAAGAGGAUGACAGUGGUAUGGAUAAGAAAAAGAAAAUCAAGGCUGGUUGCAGUGGCUCAUGUCUGUAACCCCAGCACUUUGGGAGGUCGAGUUGUACUAAAUGAUGUGUGUUAGUCAUGUGACACCAACUGACAGAUUCAGACUAUGCAGGUCUGUGGGGCAUUAUAUUGUGAUUCUUGUUUGAAGGCAGAAAAAAUGAAGAGGGCACAGAUCAACCUUUUAUAAUGAAUAUUACGUUCUGAAGUUCUCCAUCUGCUCUCAGGCCACAGCUGUGUGUUUGGGAAGAUGCAGAAUAAGACAGUCAGAAGUGCACCACCUCACAUACCUACACCUACUUCUCUCAGUUCACAGUGAUUCCAGUUUGCUUGAUCAAACACAUGAAUAAGAAACCUGGUUAGCAUGUUCAACUUGACACCACCUUAAUAAAUACCUAGU